GAUUAAGUUAUUAAGGGCGCACGGUGGAUGCCUUGGCACUAGAAGCCGAUGAAGGACGUUACUAACGACGAUAUGCUUUGGGUAGCUGUAAGUAAGCGUUGAUCCAGAGAUUUCCGAAUGGGGGAACCCAGCAUGAGUUAUGUCAUGUUAUCGACAUGUGAAUUCAUAGCAUGUCAGAAGGCAGACCCGGAGAACUGAAACAUCUUAGUACCCGGAGGAAGAGAAAGAAAAAUCGAUUCCCUGAGUAGCGGCGAGCGAAACGGGAAGAGCCCAAACCAACAAGCUUGCUUGUUGGGGUUGUAGGACACUCUAUACGGAGUUACAAAAGAACAUGUUAGACGAAUCAUCUGGAAAGAUGAAUCAAAGAAGGUAAUAAUCCUGUAGUCGAAAACAUAUUCUCUCUUGAGUGGAUCCUGAGUACGACGGAGCACGUGAAAUUCCGUCGGAAUCUGGGAGGACCAUCUCCUAAGGCUAAAUACUCUCUAGUGACCGAUAGUGAACCAGUACCGUGAGGGAAAGGUGAAAAGUACCCCGGAAGGGGAGUGAAAGAGAACUUGAAACCGUGUGCUUACAAGUAGUCAGAGCCCGUUAAUGGGUGAUGGCGUGCCUUUUGUAGAAUGAACCGGCGAGUUACGAUCUGAUGCAAGGUUAAGCAGCAAAUGUGGAGCCGCAGCGAAAGCGAGUCUGAAUAGGGCGUUGAGUAUUUGGUCGUAGACCCGAAACCAGGUGAUCUACCCUUGGUCAGGUUGAAGUUCAGGUAACACUGAAUGGAGGACCGAACCGACUUACGUUGAAAAGUGAGCGGAUGAACUGAGGGUAGCGGAGAAAUUCCAAUCGAACUUGGAGAUAGCUGGUUCUCUCCGAAAUAGCUUUAGGGCUAGCCUCAAGUGAUGAUUAUUGGAGGUAGAGCACUGUUUGGACGAGGGGCCCCUCUCGGGUUACCGAAUUCAGACAAACUCCGAAUGCCAAUUAAUUUAACUUGGGAGUCAGAACAUGGGUGAUAAGGUCCGUGUUCGAAAGGGAAACAGCCCAGACCACCAGCUAAGGUCCCAAAAUAUAUGUUAAGUGGAAAAGGAUGUGGCGUUGCCCAGACAACUAGGAUGUUGGCUUAGAAGCAGCCAUCAUUUAAAGAGUGCGUAAUAGCUCACUAGUCGAGUGACACUGCGCCGAAAAUGUACCGGGGCUAAACAUAUUACCGAAGCUGUGGAUUGUCCUUUGGACAAUGGUAGGAGAGCGUUCUAAGGGCGUCGAAGCAUGAUCGCAAGGACAUGUGGAGCGCUUAGAAGUGAGAAUGCCGGUGUGAGUAGCGAAAGACGGGUGAGAAUCCCGUCCACCGAUUGACUAAGGUUUCCAGAGGAAGGCUCGUCCGCUCUGGGUUAGUCGGGUCCUAAGCUGAGGCCGACAGGCGUAGGCGAUGGAUAACAGGUUGAUAUUCCUGUACCACCUAGUAUCGUUUUAAUCGAUGGGGGGACGCAGUAGGAUAGGCGAAGCGUGCUGUUGGAGUGCACGUCCAAGCAGUAAGGCUGAGUGUUAGGCAAAUCCGGCACUCAUAAGGCUGAGCUGUGAUGGGGAGAGGAAAUUGUUUCCUCGAGUCGUUGAUUUCACACUGCCGAGAAAAGCCUCUAGAUAGAUAACAGGUGCCCGUACCGCAAACCGACACAGGUAGUCAAGAUGAGAAUUCUAAGGUGAGCGAGCGAACUCUCGUUAAGGAACUCGGCAAAAUGACCCCGUAACUUCGGGAGAAGGGGUGCUCUUUAGGGUUCACGCCCAGAAGAGCCGCAGUGAAUAGGCCCAAGCGACUGUUUAUCAAAAACACAGGUCUCUGCUAAACCGUAAGGUGAUGUAUAGGGGCUGACGCCUGCCCGGUGCUGGAAGGUUAAGAGGAGUGGUUAGCUUCUGCGAAGCUAC
rnacentral:rRNA from 1 species